AUGAACGCUGGCGGCGUGCCUAAUACAUGCAAGUCGAGCGAACAGACGAGGAGCUUGCUCCUCUGACGUUAGCGGCGGACGGGUGAGUAACACGUGGAUAACCUACCUAUAAGACUGGGAUAACUUCGGGAAACCGGAGCUAAUACCGGAUAAUAUAUUGAACCGCAUGGUUCAAUAGUGAAAGACGGUUUUGCUGUCACUUAUAGAUGGAUCCGCGCCGCAUUAGCUAGUUGGUAAGGUAACGGCUUACCAAGGCAACGAUGCGUAGCCGACCUGAGAGGGUGAUCGGCCACACUGGAACUGAGACACGGUCCAGACUCCUACGGGAGGCAGCAGUAGGGAAUCUUCCGCAAUGGGCGAAAGCCUGACGGAGCAACGCCGCGUGAGUGAUGAAGAUCUUCGGAUCGUAAAACUCUGUUAUUAGGGAAGAACAAAUGUGUAAGUAACUAUGCACGUCUUGACGGUACCUAAUCAGAAAGCCACGGCUAACUACGUG
rnacentral:rRNA from 1 species